rnacentral:rRNA from 1 species
CCAAACCAACAAGCUUGCUUGUUGGGGUUGUAGGACUCCAAUAUGGUAGUCUGUUAGUAUAGUUGAAGGAUUUGGAAAAUUCCGCUAAAGAGGGUGAAAGCCCCGUAGACGAAAUGCUAACAACACCUAGGAGGAUCCUGAGUACGGCGGAACACGAGAAAUUCCGUCGGAAUCCGCGGGGACCAUCCCGCAAGGCUAAAUACUCCCUAGUGACCGAUAGUGAACCAGUACCGUGAGGGAAAGGUGAAAAGCACCCCGGAAGGGGAGUGAAAUAGAUCCUGAAACCGUGUGCCUACAACAAGUCAAAGCUCGUUAAUGAGUGAUGGCGUGCCUUUUGUAGAAUGAACCGGCGAGUUACGAUUGCAUGCGAGGUUAAGUCGAAGAGACGGAGCCGCAGCGAAAGCGAGUCUGAAUAGGGCGAAUGAGUAUGUAGUCGUAGACCCGAAACCAUGUGAUCUACCCAUGUCCAGGUUGAAGGUGCGGUAAAACGCACUGGAGGACCGAACCCACGUACGUUGAAAAGUGCGGGGAUGAGGUGUGGGUAGCGGAGAAAUUCCAAACGAACUUGGAGAUAGCUGGUUCUCUCCGAAAUAGCUUUAGGGCUAGCCUCGGAAUUGAGAAUGAUGGAGGUAGAGCACUGUUUGGACUAGGGGCCCAUCUCGGGUUACCGAAUUCAGAUAAACUCCGAAUGCCAUUCAUUUAUAUCCGGGAGUCAGACUGCGAGUGAUAAGAUCCGUAGUCGAAAGGGAAACAGCCCAGACCACCAGCUAAGGUCCCAAAAUAUAUGUUAAGUGGAAAAGGAUGUGGGGUUGCACAGACAACUAGGAUGUUGGCUUAGAAGCAGCCACCAUUUAAAGAGUGCGUAAUAGCUCACUAGUCGAGUGACCCUGCGCCGAAAAUGUACCGGGGCUAAACAUAUUACCGAAGCUGUGGACUACACCAUUAGGUGUAGUGGUAGGAGAGCGUUCUAAGGGCGUUGAAGGUCGAUCGUGAGGACGGCUGGAGCGCUUAGAAGUGAGAAUGCCGGUAUGAGUAGCGAAAGACAGGUGAGAAUCCUGUCCACCGUAUGACUAAGGUUUCCUGGGGAAGGCUCGUCCGCCCAGGGUUAGUCGGGACCUAAGCCGAGGCCGAUAGGCGUAGGCGAUGGACAACAGGUUGAUAUUCCUGUACCAGUUGUUUUUGUUUGAGCAAUGGAGGGACGCAGUAGGCUAAGGAAUGCAUGCGAUUGGAAGUGCAUGUCCAAGCAAUGAGUCUUGAGUAGAGUUAAAUGCUUUACUCUCUAAGGACAAGUUGUGACGGGGAGCGAAAUAAUAGUAGCGAAGUUCCUGAUGUCACACUGCCAAGAAAAGCUUCUAGUGAGAAAACAACUGCCCGUACCGUAAACCGACACAGGUAGUCGAGGAGAGUAUCCUAAGGUGAGCGAGCGAACUCUC